rnacentral:lncRNA from 1 species
UAUAGUGUCCCAUGACUUUCUUCCAGCUUAUGCAACUAUGUGUUCAGACAUAUACACACACAGAUACACUUUUUGUCAUGUCAUAAAGUUAAAAUCCUACUAUGUUCACAGUUGUGAAUCCUGCUUUCCUCAUUUAAUAGUACAUAACAGAAAUCCUUCCAAAACAACAAUUACAGUUUUAAUUUAUUCAUUUUAUUUUCGUCAUAACAUUCUCUUGAAUAUAUACUCCAUAAUUCGUGUACCCAGCUAGCUUUAGGGACCCCUUAAUUUAGUUUUAAGUUUUUCAUUGGGCUACAAUAAAAUAUUUACACUUGUAUCUUUCUCUAAUGGUGUUCCUGUGUAUAUGGGAUAGAUUCUUAGAAGUGGAAUUGCUGAUUAAGAUUUUUUUUUAUUUAAAGAGAUACUCCCAUAUUGCAUUUAAAUAAAGCUGUAAUAAUUAAUCUUUAACCUAACAAUGUAAAAAAAACUUUGUAAAUAUUCCAAUUAAUCAGUGUUACCCCUCAUUAUUUUUAAUAUCUAAUUUUACAUAAGUUUAUAAUUAUAGCUACUAAGGUUUAUAUCUUUCAUAUAUUUUUUCGUAGUUGGACUUAAACUUUAGUGACUUUCCUGUUCAUGUAAUUUACCCAAUUUCUUAUUGAUUCAUUUGUGUUUUUCUCAUUAAUUUGUGAGAGUAUUUUUAAGAUUAUUAUUAUUAUUAUUUAGGCUUUAUUUGUCAUAUGCAUUACACAUACAUUUUUCCAAUUGCUUGCUUUCUUAUUUUAGUUGAGUAUGACUUUGCCUGUCAUUUUUUCUGUAGUUUUUAUUUAGAUUGUAUUAUUGAGUCCCAUGUGUGUGGCUACAUAAGAUUGAAAGGAUGUAUAUUCCGCGGUAACUCUCUUUGGAGAUCAUAGGUAUGUAGGCAGAGUACAGGUUCCUUUGUAGAGCUCGGACUUCAUAUGGCCAGUUGUUCUGGCAGACGCUAGGACAGAAUGGAAUGAUAAUGAAAGAGUGUUUCUCAAUUUGUCUUGCCCUUGCUCCUGAUCUCACCUACCAGGAUCUGAGAUCUCACCUUACACCCUUAGCAAUUCCCUGUCUCUUGUGUUUUUAUGUUUUUAUUCUCUCUCUCUCUUCCUAUCCCUCUCUUGCUUCCUCCUUACUCUUUCAGUCAAGAUUUAAAGAUGUUUCAGCCUCCCUUAAAUUAAAAUUUAAAAACAACCUACCGGGACCAGCCUGGUGGUGGAGCGGUUAAGUUUGCACAUUCUGCUUCUCAGCGGCCUGGGGUUUGCCAGUUCGGAUCCCGGGUGCAGGCAUAGCACCACUUGGCAAAAGCCAUGCUGUGGUAGGCGUCCCACAUAUAAAGUAGAGGAAGAUGGGCAUGGAUGUUAGCUCAGGGCCAGUCUUCCUCAGCAAAAAGAGGAGGACUGGCAGUAGUUAGCUCAGGGCUAAUCUUCCUGAAAAAAAUAAAUAAAUAAAUAAAAAUAA